UACGAAGGGGGCUAGCGUUGCUCGGAAUCACUGGGCGUAAAGGGUGCGUAGGCGGGUCUUUAAGUCAGGGGUGAAAUCCUGGAGCUCAACUCCAGAACUGCCUUUGAUACUGAAGAUCUUGAGUUCGGGAGAGGUGAGUGGAACUGCGAGUGUAGAGGUGAAAUUCGUAGAUAUUGGGAAGAACACCGGUGGCGAAGGCGGCCAUCUGGACCGCAACUGACGCUGAGGCGCGAAAGCGUGGGGAGCAAACAGG
rnacentral:rRNA from 1 species